GAUGAACGCUGGCGGCGUGCUUAACACAUGCAAGUCGAACGAAGCACUUUGGACGGAUUCUUCGGAUGAAGUCCUUAGUGACUGAGUGGCGGACGGGUGAGUAACGCGUGGGUAACCUGCCUCAUACAGGGGGAUAACAGUUAGAAAUGGCUGCUAAUACCGCAUAAGCGCACAGUACUGCAUGGUACAGUGUGAAAAACUCCGGUGGUAUGAGAUGGACCCGCGUUGGAUUAGCUAGUUGGCAGGGUAACGGCCUACCAAGGCGACGAUCCAUAGCCGGCCUGAGAGGGUGGACGGCCACAUUGGGACUGCGACACGGCCCAGACUCCUACGGGAGGCAGCAGUGGGGAAUAUUGCACAAUGGGGGAAACCCUGAUGCAGCGACGCCGCGUGAGCGAAGAAGUAUUUCGGUAUGUAAAGCUCUAUCAGCAGGGAAGAAAAUGACGGUACCUGACUAAGAAGCCCUGGCUAACUACGUGCCAGCCGCCGCAGUAAUAC
rnacentral:rRNA from 1 species